rnacentral:rRNA from 1 species
UACAGAGGUCCCAAGCGUUGUUCGGAUUCACUGGGCGUAAAGGGUGCGUAGGCGGUUGGGUAAGUCUGAUGUGAAAUCUCACAGCUUAACUGUGAAACUGCAUUGGAUACUAUCCGGCUAGAGGAAUGGAGGGGAGACUGGAAUACUUGGUGUAGCAGUGAAAUGCGUAGAUAUCAAGUGGAACACCAGUGGCGAAGGCGAGUCUCUGAACAUUUCCUGACGCUGAGGCACGAAAGCCAGGGGAGCAAACGGGG